rnacentral:siRNA from 1 species
AUGAGACUUGUCAUGAUGGGUUGU